UAGCCUACGGGAGGCAGCAGUGGGGAAUAUUGCACAAUGGGGGGAACCCUGAUGCAGCGAUGCCGCGUGGAGGAAGAAGGUUUUCGGAUUGUAAACUCCUUUUAUCAGGGACGAUAAUGACGGUACCUGAAGAAAAAGCUCCGGCUAACUACGUGCCAGCAGCCGCGGUAAUACGUAGGGAGCGAGCGUUGUCCGGAAUUACUGGGUGUAAAGGGAGCGUAGGCGGGACGGCAAGUCAGAUGUGAAAACCACGGGCUCAACCUGUGGCCUGCAUUUGAAACUGUGUUCCUUGAGUACUGGAGAGG
rnacentral:rRNA from 1 species